CUUCCUGUGGUGUAGUGGUUAUCACGUUUGCUUUACACGCAAAAGGUCUCUGGUUCAAAACCAGACAGAAACG
rnacentral:tRNA from 1 species